GACGGAGGGGGCUAGCGUUGUUCGGAAUCACUGGGCGUAAAGCGCGCGUAGGCGGCUUGCCAAGUUGGGCGUGAAAGCCUGGGGCUCAACCCCGGAAAUGCGCCCAAAACUGGUUGGCUUGAGACCGAGAGAGGGUGGUGGAAUUCCCAGUGUAGAGGUGAAAUUCGUAGAUAUUGGGAAGAACACCAGUGGCGAAGGCGGCCACCUGGCUCGGAUCUGACGCUGGGGCGCGAAAGCGUGGGGAGCAAACAGG
rnacentral:misc_RNA from 1 species